GCAUGCAGUGCAGGACAGAGAUCCUUUGCUCUUAAGCGAAACAGGAAGAAAAUACCGAAGAGACAGAGGGACAAAAAGCAGAGAAAAAGAGACAGCAGAGUGACCACACCAGAGAAACUGCAACCCCCUCACCCUUCUACAGUGAGGAUGCUGCUGAAUGGACGGCCCCAGGAGACUGCUAAGAAAGAAAAUCCUUCAUUUAGAAACCAUAUUUAUUUGCAAGCAACUUUUAUGUGCUCAGUUCAGAUAAAGCAAUGCAUGGAGCUGUGAUUUGGUACUAAUGUGAAGUGGCAUAGUUAGCAAAACAGUUUCAUUGAAUCUGCUUUACUAGGAUAGAGAAAUAUAGGAAAAUAAAUCAUCAUUGUUCCUAAUCUACUGUUCUGCUACUGCCACUUUGUCAUAACAUAUCCUCUGCAAAGUCAAUAACUACUGUCCUAACUAAAAUAAUGUAUUGAGCAUAUGCUGCCCUUCAGAAGACUGAGUAACAGAAGAUGUAACAGGAAUUCAUACAAGAUCAGCUGCAGUUUUCAGAAACAGCUUUAGACAUUGCAAACCAAUUUUACAUAUAAAAAAAAAAUUAGCUUAUCUGGCCAUUAGAUCAAACCCUGAAAUAAUUAUGCAUUGGACUUGAUGAAUGGCUAUUGGCUUAUUUGCAGAAUGGAUUGUGACCUUAGACUGGCUUCAAGGAUCAUGUUUUCUGGAUAGCUGUCCUCUAGAUGGUAGUAUUCAUGCCAAUGAAUCCAAACCUUAAUGAAGAGGAAAACCAAAACUGAUUUCUAUUACCAAGUUGUUCUGAGCAAGUAUGGUAUGUUCUUUCCAUACUAUUCCAUUCCAUAUCCUGGAAAGAAAACUUGCAUGGAGAAACUUUUCUAAGUGUUCCAAAUAAGCUGGAGACUGUGAGUAACCAGCGAUUGAACUCUUGACAGGGUUAAUAAAAAAUCUAAUAUGUAAUAAAUGUAAUUAUAAGUGAAUAACUUCUCCAUAUUCUUUUACUAGAUACAACUCUGCUGAUAAAGAAAUACAAAGGAUAAUCCUAUAAAUGCUGUGCAGAUUGUGGCUAUGUGGGUACUUGAAUGAUCUCAAAACCCAGCUCAGAUUUCAUUUCCUUAUGUGAAAAAUAGUACCCGUGUCAAUAUGAGACAAGGCAGAACAGAAUAUAAAAAUAGGAGAAAAUAAAAAUAUGACAAUAUGAGAAUGGCAAAGCAGGGUGUGUUGGAACUAACUAAAGUGGAGACAUUGAAAGCUACGAGCGGUAACACAAAACACUGUGGAAAGAUAACCCCCUUUCAAUAUGGGACGUGAGUAAAACAGGGGAACAGGGGUGUGUCAGAGCUAAGGAAGCUGGAGACGUUGGAACCUUCGGGUGAUAACACAAAGCGCUGUGAAGAGAUAGCGACCUGUCAAUGGGGGACGUAAACAAAACAGGGGUAUGCCAGGGCUAACUGAAGCCAAGCCAGGGACGAAUGAUAACAGAAAAGCACUAUGAGCAUGGUAGAUAAGAAACUGAAAAGCGCACGAACAUGAAGACACAAAGAGCUGAGUCAUAAGGACACCUGAGGAAGACUCGUUACUUCAGCCCCACGACCACCAGAGAGACCUCUAAGAGGAUUAACACGCAUGUGUAAAAGUUCCAGGAAAAACUGCAACCGUUUUGGGAAAUGAUAAAAUAUAUAUUAAACUGCUUUAUGAAUAUGUAUCUGAGCGGGAAAUAAAAACCCUGCAACUGCAUGUGUACAGUGUGCAGCUGUGGAGAUAAACUCCCCUGUGCCCAGCGCUGCUCCCUGCUUGCCAAAAUAAAACUCCUUAAACUUA